GGAAGGAUAUUCCUUGCCGGCUCCUACCCGAGAACAGCUGGAGUCCCGGACCACGGAAGCCAGAGCUGCUGAGACCCAAGCAGAGGUCUGAGCUACAGGGAGCUGCACCGGCCGAGGAACCCAGAGACCCUGAAGACGACAGACCGCCACGAUGAGUAGCACAAGAGGAAGUAGCCAUUGUCCCGACGAUAAUCAGCGUGUUGCAGACGGAUCCCUGCUGACUCAGUGGCGGACACACUUGCCACUGAAAGGGCCUUGGGCUGGGACCUGGUGGAGCAGGGAGAGCCCAGGUCCCCCUACCCUGGCCGCCACCCUCCGGAUGGCAGCCUACACACCCCAACCGGCCAGUAGGCCAUACAGCCCCACCCUGGAGGGCAACUGUAACCCUUCUGCCAGGUGGAGCCGGCAGCAACCAGGGCCGGGUUCAAUAUCUAGGGGUUCCUUUUCAACAAUACAACACAGAACUGGCUCGAGCCCCCAUCCUGUAACCUGGGGAAAAUUAGACACCAUCCCUGGGUGCCUCUGAGAGGCAUUACUUCCCCACUCGCAAGCACAGUCUGAGUGUAGAAAAGAAAUUUUUAAUGACAGGAGGGAAGUCACCCGACAUUAAUUAGGGAAAACACCACAAGCAGGAUUCAUAAUCAUAAAACUAUGCGUGGGACGCCCACCCCAGAGUGCGUGGGGCAGAGCCUUCCGCCUCAUGUCCUUGCGUUCUACAACCAAAAGUUCCUUUCUGUGCCCCUCUCUGCUCCCUCACCAGACCCCACUCACAGCGGUUGUCCUUGGUCAGUGAGGAGCCAGGGUUCAGAGGUGCAUCUGUGUGAGUUCAGCUCCCACCCAGCGAAGAAGGCACCUGGUUUGCUCCACCAUCUGAGCACUUGCUCUGGCUGGCUGCCCCCCAGCCGUGGUUUCUCUCCGCUGGCGGCCCCACCAGCUGACUGCUCGCUGCUCCCGCCGCCGACUGUCAGUUACCUUCUGCUGCCACCUGCCUCUCCGCUGUGACUGCUGCAGGUCAGUCUCAGUGAUUUUCAGCUUUCAGCCGGCUGCGCAGAACCGCUGUCCCCCCACACGUGAUUUCAGCUCUCAUUUAAGCUCUUAAAAUAACAAAGGCUCCUAAUAGAGCCUAUUUAGGUUUAACUUUGACCAGAAGGAGGAAGAAGUUAAACCAGACUGGGGACUCUCAGGCAGAGCCUAAGCCUACGCCUCCUGGCUGGGACAUGACAUGACACUUCACCGGACCCAUCCUGUCCCCCCUCUGGCCUCACGACUCCCCCAGACUUCCAGUGAACCACCCAAUGACCACAGACUCCGAUAAGUUCCUCAGAUUUGUCACCUAAAAGAAUGGCUCAGGUUUGGGAAUGGAGCUGCUGAAAGCGACAUGACCUGAGGGACGUACUGGCCACCACUUCCAGAAGCUCCCAUUGGCCUGGAGCAGUGAACCGCGGCCAUGGGAGCCGCGAUCAACCGGACCUGCGGACACAGCAGCCCUUGCCUGCCCUGUCAACAGCCAUGACGAGCUGUGCCCCAGAUCCUGCCAUUUCACUUGUGCCCGCUUGUCCGCCCCUGCCCAAUGCACCAGAAAUGCUUUGAAGGCUGCCAGUGCAACAUUGGCUUCAUGUUUGAUGGAGAGGCUUGCGUAUUCCCGGCUAGCUGCGGAUGCACGUGCGACAGAUGCGAUAUCAAUGUGGGUGUUGGGUUAUCAGUCUGGCCGUCUUCGUCGAUGCCCUUGUAGCUGUGGGGCUCUUCCAGUUUCCCCGCAGAAGUUGGAGAGUGACUGUGGAGAUGCGUGUGCAAGGUGGCGACACAUAAAACCUAGAGCUCAAUGCUGCCCUGAUGGUCACCCAUGCGGCUCUACUGGCAUGUAGUUAGGUUCAUCAUCCACAUUUCCACACGUUGUGAUGAAACUGAUCCAUCUUGUUUGAGCAACGUGGGGCUGUAACCCCAGGCUGGAGCUAUCAUGGACACGUGAAGCUAUAUACCCUACACUGCAGCUUCAUCAUAUGGGAGGUGGGGGUGCAGGGGAAUAGCUUGGGCAGACCCAUCUUUCAUCAAAGGAAAGAGCAUCACUAAAGCAUCCGGGGUACACGGCUAUUCCCAGCUCUGCCCCAGAAUAAAUCAAUCGGUGCCUCCUUUUCCCUAUCUGUAAAAUGGGGGCAAUGGUCCUCUCUUUGGGAGGCAGUGUGGCCUA